rnacentral:misc_RNA from 1 species
GAAAUGCGAUAAGUAAUGUGAAUUGCAGAAUUCAGUGAAUCAUCGAAUCUUUGAACGCACAUUGCGCCCGCCAGUAUUCUGGCGGGCAUGCCUGUUCGAGCGUCAUUUCAACCAUCAAGCCCCCGGCUUGUGUUGGGGACCUGCGGCUGCCCGCAGGCCCUGAAAAACAGUGCCGGGCUCGCUGUCACACCGAGCGUAGUAGCAUACAUUCUCGCUCAGGGCGUGCUGCGGGUUCCGGCCGUUAAACGACCUUCAUAACCCAAGGUUGACCUCGGAUCAGGUAGGAAGACCCGCUGAACUUAGGC